GAUGAACGCUAGCUACAGGCUUAACACAUGCAAGUCGAGGGGCAGCGGGAUUGAAGCUUGCUUCAAUUGCCGGCGACCGGCGCACGGGUGAGUAACGCGUAUCCAACCUUCCGUACACUCAGGGAUAGCCUUUCGAAAGAAAGAUUAAUACCUGAUGGUAUGAUGAGAUUGCAUGAUAGCAUCAUUAAAGAUUUAUCGGUUACAGAUGAACAUGCGUUCCAUUAGCUGGUUGGUGAGGUAACGGCUCACCAAGACCGCGAUCGGUAGCCGGACUGAGAGGUUGAACGGCCACAUUGGGACUGAGACACGGCCCAGACUCCUACGGGAGGCAGCAGUGGGGGAUAUUGCGCAAUGGGGGAAACCCUGACGCAGCAACGCCGCGUGAAGGAUGAGGGUCUUCGGGAUUGUAAACUUCUUUUAUUAAGGACGAAGAAAGUGACGGUACUUAAUGAAUAAGCUCCGGCUAACUACGUG
rnacentral:rRNA from 1 species